rnacentral:lncRNA from 1 species
AUUAUAGAUUUGUCGAUUUUGAAGGAGUUAAUAGUUUAUUUGAGUUAAUGUAAAAAAAUUAUUUAUAAUAAACUGUUAGAAAUGAAAAGUUAUUCGGCUUUAAAGGUAUCUAGUUUUUAAAGAAAUAAAUUUAAUUUAUUAAUAUAGGCAGAAAUUUAAUUGUUAAAAUGUUCUGUAAAUUAUUAAAAGUAAUUCAUGGGAUAAGCUGUGAAUUAAAGCCUUAAAAUAAAUUAAUAAUUUGUAAUAAAUGUAUGUUUAGGAAUAGCAACCGUUAAUAAAUUUGUUAUAAUUUAUUUUAUUAAUAUAUUAUUUAGUUAUUAUUUAAGUAUUUAUUUAAAUAUUAAUUUUAAUUUUAAAAAUUAAGCAAUAAUGAUAAAAUUAGUAUAAAAUGUUGUAUGAGUAAAUUGAGCGGAAAGAUUAAGUUAAAGAACUGAAUAUUCGCCUGUUUAACAAAAACAUGUCUUUUUGAAUUUAGUUUAAAGUCUAGCCUGCCCACUGAUUGUUUUAAAUGGCCGCAGUAUAUUAACUGUGCAAAGGUAGCAUAAUCAUUAGUCUUUUAAUUGAAGGCUUGUAUGAAUGGCUGAACGAGAUAUUAACUGUUUCAAUUUAAAUUUUAGAAUUUUAUUUUUUAGUCAAAAAG